rnacentral:sRNA from 1 species
GUUGGAUAGGUACCCGUAGUACCUAUAUACCAAGACUAGUUUUGCUUACAUAUUAGUGAAUACUUAAGUAACUAAAUAAUUGAACUAGUUCCAUGGUGAAUAUGACAUAUGACAUCAUUUUUGUUUACAAUUCAAUUUUGGCUGAAGUAAUGAAAUUACAGAGUUCCUUGAGGACGGUGUUUGUUCGGUAUUUCAAUAAAUCAGGUAGAUUACAAACAGCACACAAAUUAGUGUCUAUCAGGUUCAUUUUAUGCAGGUUCUAAAGACAUUUCGGCAUGCCAGUGUUUUUUUGGUGGAGAUGGAAAGAAAUUAGAGAAGGCUUCAUAUAUUUCCGCACGAGCAUCCUUUACGGCUAAAUUGGACGAAAUUACACAGCCAGCUUCCACGGCUUGUCUGGCAAAAUAGUCGGCACGUUCGUUAGAUGGGAUUCCAAUGUGGGAUGGAACCCACAGGAAGGUAAGGUGACUUAAAGUUGAAUUGUUUAUUUUGUUGAUUAUUAUGUUGACUAAAUAGUUGUGUGAUGUGUUGUUUCUUAGGAGCAAACAGGCAUUUUUACUAUCCGUCAGGAUUACUGCCCUUUGAAUACCAUCUUCUAAAAUGAGGUCAACGGCCUUGUUAAUAGCAUU